rnacentral:rRNA from 1 species
GAUGAACGCUGGCGGCGUGCCUAAUACAUGCAAGUCGAGCGAACAGACGAGGAGCUUGCUCCUCUGACGUUAGCGGCGGACGGGUGAGUAACACGUGGAUAACCUACCUAUAAGACUGGGAUAACUUCGGGAAACCGGAGCUAAUACCGGAUAAUAUAUUGAACCGCAUGGUUCAAUAGUUAAAGACGGUUUUGCUGUCACUUAUAGAUGGAUCCGCGCCGAAUUAGCUAGUUGGUAAGGUAACGGCUUACCAAGGCAACGAUGCGUAGCCGACCUGAGAGGGUGAUCGGCCACACUGGAACUGAGACACGGUCCAGACUCCUACGGGAGGCAGCAGUAGGGAAUCUUCCGCAAUGGGCGAAAGCCUGACGGAGCAACGCCGCGUGAGUGAUGAAGGUCUUCGGAUCGUAAAACUCUGUUAUUAGGGAAGAACAAAUGUGUAAGUAACUAUGCACGUCUUGACGGUACCUAAUCAGAAAGCCACGGCUAACUACGUG